AUUGUUUCGAACGACAGCUUUCUUAUUUAUUGAGAGAGUUGGCGGAUCGGUAUUGAGGGUUUUUUGCCAUUUACCGUGGCUCCCUCGAAAUGCAUUAGCGCAUCCAUUUGAUAGGCAAGACGGACGAAAGCUUGAUUUUCGCCCUCUCUUCCCUGCCGGGUUUUGAUAAUAUCAGGACUUCGGAGGCGGAGAAAGGGUUAGAGCUGGACGCGACGUUUUGCUGUUUGGAGUGCUUCUGAACCCCGCCCAUGCCUUUUUAAAGGAAGGGAUUUUUUCAAUU
rnacentral:misc_RNA from 1 species